GCAGUGGUUACUUCAGACACACAAAGAAGGAGUGCUCGCUCCUCAGGAAACCCUGCAAGUUCGGAUCGCUACCACAAGAACGUUUGUCUCAGUGGAUUAUCCUCACUGUCAGGACCCCAGCCAGAAUGAAACUAAUGCACGUAGCCCUGCUCUAUCUCGGCUCUGUGACCUUCCUCGGGGUGGAUGCUGCAAGCGUGAACGUAGCGACAGAGUUCAAAAGAAAAUGGACGAAAUGGGCACUUAGCCGAGCCAAGCGGGACGUGAAGCCUGCGGGCGCGCUCCGAGGGCUGGGGGCAGCCGCCGACGUGCAGCCGCUCAUACGGACCCAGGACGUGAAGGAGGAUCCUCGAAUCUCGCAUCCCAGCACUCGGGAGGAUGCUCACAUCCGCGUCAAGCGCUACCGCCAGAGCAUUAACAGCUUCCCCCACUUCCAAGCCAUCCGCACGGGGUGCCGGUUCGGGACGUGCACAGUGCAGAAGCUGGCCCACCAGAUCUACCAGCUGACCGAUAAGGACAAGGACGACACCGCCCCCGCCAGCAAGAUCAGUCCCCAGGGCUACGGCCGCAGGAGGCGCUCCCUGCCCGAACGCCGCGGCCCGGCGCGUUCUCCCCGGACCGGGCGGCGCCCCUGGACGCCGCGGGCGCAGCCUCUCGCCGCCGUCCUCGGGGUUUGAGCUCCGCACUACCGGCCGAGGCCGUCUCGGAUGGGUGGACUGAAGCGUGGACGCUCCGGAGGUCCGCUGCUGCUCGGCAGCCGCCGCCAGGAUUCGCGGAGAGCGACUGUCCGGGCGGGACCCCGACGCGCCCUCCCAGGGCCGGGGGCAGCGGAGCGGCGGGCCGCGCUGCCAGGGCCCGGCAGGGCGAGGAGCGGCCGUCUCCGCGGCCCGCAGGGUCGGAGCGGGGAAACUGUGAAGGCCGCGUCCCCCGGGGGACGCGCAGGGGCUGCUCCCCCCGUCCGCCGCUGCGGCGGGGCGGUCACUGACUUUUUACCCUCCGGGCGACGCACCGCCGGCUCCCGCGCCCGCCGCCGCCUGGGACUGGAAGGCGCCAGAGGCGCCUCUACCCCGCCGGCCGCCAUGGCGCCCCCUGCCCCGCCGCUGCACUCGGGAGGGGGGGGCCGGGCCUUCCUUGCCGGCGGGCCGCGCUCAGAGCUGCCCCGGCCCCGUCUGCCCCGAAGAGGGGUUGCUCAGGGGAGACCCGCGGCCGGGGGAACUCGCCGGCAGGCGCCGGCCGCUACGCCACACCCCCGGACCCGGGGACCGCGGCCCCGGCCUCACCCCCUGCCCCUGGGUGUUUGGGGGUUCGUGUUCGGCCUUCGACAAGGACAGGUCGCCCACAUCUGCUCUACCCUCUGCGCUAUCUGCACCCGGCAGGGAAUCGGACACUCACUAGUCCCUGCGGGGACUGAAAUAUACUUGAACCUCACAGAGAGGAAAAGUGCAAUUGUACGUGGUUUUUGUUAAUUUUAAGUGCGGUGUGUGUGGAUCAUGAGAUCUGUAUCGAUAUUUAAGAUUGUCCUCUGUCAUGUCCUGUUUGUAUCUUUUUUUUUGAAAAUAUAUUUUAUUUUUAUACGUUUUAUAUAUAUAUUGCAUAAGGGCAUUUUAAAACAUUGUAUCCCCUCUAUUUUUCAUAUAAUGAAUGUCAAAUGUUACUUUUUUUUUUUUCCAUACCUUUUUUUAUCUUGCAUUCCAGACUGGUGAAAGAUGUAGAGAAUGUAUCAGCUGUUCUCCAUGGGUAAUAUGUGAAAUAAAUACUAUUACAUAAACCA
rnacentral:lncRNA from 1 species